CCUACGGGUGGCAGCAGUGAGGAAUAUUGGUCAAUGGGCGUAAGCCUGAACCAGCCAAGUCGCGUGAGGGAUGACGGCUCUACGGAUCGUAAACCUCUUUUAUAAGGGAAUAAAGUGCGGCACGUGUCCCGUUUUGUAUGUACCUUAUGAAUAAGGAUCGGCUAACUCCGUGCCAGCAGCCGCGGUAAUACGGAGGAUGCGAGCGUUAUCCGGAUUUAUUGGGUUUAAAGGGUGCGCAGGCGGACUUUUAAGUCAGCGGGAAAAUCGUGGGGCUCAACCCCAUCCAGCAGUUGAAACUGGAGGCCUUGAGUGUACAAAAGGUGGGCGGAAUGCGUGGUGUAGCGGUGAAAUGCAUAGAUAUCACGAAGAACCCCGAUUGCGAAGGCAGCAGGCCGGGGUACAACUGACGCUGAGGCACGAAAGUGUGGGUAUCAAACAGGAUUAGAUACCCUAGUAGUC
rnacentral:rRNA from 1 species